rnacentral:rRNA from 1 species
UACGUAGGCAGCGAGCGUUGUUCGGAGUUACUGGGCGUAAAGGGUGCGUAGGCGGUUGUUUAAGUUUGGUGUGAAAUCUCCCGGCUCAACUGGGAGGGUGCGCCGAAUACUGAAUGACUAGAGUGCGGGAGAGGAGAGUGGAAUUCCCAGUGUAGCGGUGAAAUGCGUAGAUAUUGGGAGGAACACCAGUGGCGAAGGCGGCUCACUGGACCGGAACUGACGCUGAGGCGCGAAAGGCGUGGGGAGCAAACGGGG